UACGUAGGUGGCAAGCGUUGUCCGGAUUUACUGGGCGUAAAGAGCGCGCAGGCGGUCGUUCAAGUCGCGUGUGAAAGCCCCCGGCUCAACUGGGGAGGGUCACGCGAUACUGAUCGACUCGAAGGCAGGAGAGGGUAGUGGAAUUCCCGGUGUAGUGGUGAAAUGCGUAGAUAUUGGGAGGAACACCAGUGGCGAAGGCGGCUCACUGGACCGGUACUGACGCUGAGGCGCGAAAGCGUGGGGAGCAAACAGG
rnacentral:rRNA from 1 species